GAAAAAACCAGUGCUCGUGGAGAGUAAGCUAGCGGGCGCAGCGAAGAAAACAAAAGUGAUCGGCUUUGAGCAGGUGAUGAUUCCCGUUGUAAAAAUCAUAAACAACAUCCGCUCCAAAGCAAAACAGUACAGGAUUUUCAAGGUGCUAUUGGAGGAGAUUUCAGCUGAAUAUGGUGACCUGCUGCUACACACAGAAAUCCGAUGGCUCAGCAGAGGACGAGUUUUACUUCGUUUUUUGUCACUUUUGGGUGAAAUCAAAGAGUUCAAGCAGUCCAAAGGCGAAGACGUCUCACUACUAGAGGACACAGAGUGGACAUUUGACCUUGCAUUUUUGACAGACAUUACUGGGAAACUAAAUGACUUGAACUGCAAGCUGCAAGGCAAAGACUCCCCGCUGGCAGCAGAACAGACUUAACUACAGCAGUAGAACACUGCAAGAUGAUCACAAUUGCUCAUUUUGGAAACAA